rnacentral:piRNA from 1 species
UGCCACCUCACACAAGACACUAUCUCCACU